AGGUCUACUUGUAUCUAACAUUUUGGUUAACGUUACUGCUGUGGCUUGAGACUGCUAGCUAACAGGAAACUGAGGAAAAGGUUCUGACAGGAUGGAUUCAUGCAGAUAGGCUACGAUGUGAAUUUGUGGCUAGCUAUUGACUAACGUUUGAUGGAUAUACGGACAUUCUUCAAGAGAGGCAGUGCCAGCGCCUCUGACGAAGGCCAAUGCUGAGAGAAAUGAAGAUUUUACCAGUUCAAACAAACAAAUUAAAACUUAAACUGAUUAAUCGCCUA